rnacentral:rRNA from 1 species
GCUUUGAUGAAGUUUUCGGAUGGAUUUAAAACAGCUUAGUGGCGGACGGGUGAGUAACGCGUGGGUAACCUGCCUCACACUGGGGGAUAACAGUUAGAAAUAGCUGCUAAUACCGCAUAAGCGCACGGUUCCGCAUGGAACAGUGUGAAAAACUCCGGUGGUGUGAGAUGGACCCGCGUCUGAUUAGCCAGUUGGCGGGGUAACGGCCCACCAAAGCGACGAUCAGUAGCCGGCCUGAGAGGGUGAACGGCCACAUUGGGACUGAGACACGGCCCAAACUCCUACGGGAGGCAGCAGUGGGGAAUAUUGCACAAUGGGGGAAACCCUGAUGCAGCGACGCCGCGUGAGUGAAGAAGUAUUUCGGUAUGUAAAGCUCUAUCAGCAGGGAAGAAAGUGACGGUACCUGAAUAAGAAGCCCCGGCUAACUACGUGCCAGCAGCCGCGGUAAUACGUAGGGGGCAAGCGUUAUCCGGAUUUACUGGGUGUAAAGGGAGCGUAGACGGCAAGGCAAGUCUGAAGUGAAAGCCCGGUGCUUAACGCCGGGACUGCUUUGGAAACUGUUUGGCUGGAGUGCCGGAGAGGUAAGCGGAAUUCCUAGUGUAGCGGUGAAAUGCGUAGAUAUUAGGAAGAACACCAGUGGCGAAGGCGGCUUACUGGACGGUAACUGACGUUGAGGCUCGAAAGCGUGGGGAGC